rnacentral:rRNA from 1 species
GGAAUAUUGGGCAAUGGAGGAAACUCUGACCCAGCGACGCCGCGUGCGGGAUGAAGGCCUUCGGGUUGUAAACCGCUUUCAGCAGGGAAUAAGCGCAAGUGAAGGUACCUGCAGAAGAAGCACCGGCUAACUAUGUGCCAGCAGCCGCGGUAAUACAUAGGGUGCAAGCGUUGUCCGGAAUUAUUGGGCGUAAAGAGCUCGUAGGUGGUUUGUUACGUCGGUUGUGAAAUUCAGGGGCUCAACCCCUGACUUGCUGCCGAUACGGGCAAGCUAGAGUUUGGUAGGGGAGACUGGAAUUCCUGGUGUAGCGGUGGAAUGCGCAGAUAUCAGGAGGAACACCGAUGGCGAAGGCAGGUCUCUGGGCCAAUACUGACACUGAGGAGCGAAAGCGUGGGGAGCGAACAGGAUUAGAUACCCUGGUAGUCCACGCCGUAAGCGGUGGGCGCUAGUUGUGCGAACCUUCCACGGUUUGUGCGACGCAGCUAACGCAUUAAGCGCCCCGCCUGGGGAGUACGAUCGCAAGAUUAAAACUCAAAUGAAUUGACGG